rnacentral:rRNA from 1 species
UGAAUACGAGACGCUAAGGCGUCGAAGUAGUGUAUAUCAGACUUCCAAGAAAAGCUUGCACUGUCAUAGAUAAAAAAUGCCUGUACCAUAACCGACACAGGUGGGUAGGUAGAGUAUACUAAGGGGCGCGAGAUAACUCUCUCUAAGGAACUCGGCAAAAUAACUCCGUAACUUCGGGAGAAGGAGUGCCUUAUUUAUAAGGUUGCAAUAACAAGAUCCAAGCAACUGUUUAUCAAAAACACAGGUCUCCGCUAAGUCGUAAGACGAUGUAUGGGGGCUGACGCCUGCCCAGUGCCAGAAGGUUAAAGAAGUUGGUUAGCAAUUGCGAAGCUGAUAACUGAAGCCCUGGUGAACGGCGGCCGUAACUAUAACGGUCCUAAGGUAGCGAAAUUCCUUGUCGGGUAAGUUCCGACCCGCACGAAAGGCGUAAUGAUUUGGAUACUGUCUCGGAGAGGGGCUCGGUGAAAUAGACUUGUCUGUGAAGAUGCGGACUACCUGCACCAGGACAGAAAGACCCUAUGAAGCUUUACUGUAACUUGAAAUUGAAAUUGGACUUUAUUCGCGCAGCAUAGGUGGGAGGCGUUGAUUAUAAUCUUGCGGGAUUAUUGGAGCCAUCAGUGAGAUACCACUCUUGUAAUGUUAGAUUUCUAACUUUGAAUCAUUAUCUGGUCAAAGAACAGUUUCAGGCGGGCAGUUUGACUGGGGCGGUCGCCUCCUAAGUGGUAACGGAGGCGUACAAAGGUUUCCUCUGAACGGUUAGAAAUCGUAUCUAGAGUGUAAAGGCAUAAGGAAGCUUGACUGUGAGACCUACAAGUCGAGCAGGGACGAAAGUCGGUCUUAGUGAUCUGACGGUACUGAGUGGAAAGGCCGUCACUCAACGGAUAAAAGUUACUCUAAGGAUAACAGGCUGAUCUCCCCCAAGAGUUCACAUCGACGGGGAGGUUUGGCACCUCGAUGUCGGCUCAUCGCAUCCUGGGGCGGUAGUACGUCCCAAGGGUUGGGCUGUUCGCCCAUGAAAGCGGUACGCGAGCUGGGUUCAGAACGUCGUGAGACAGUUCGGUCCAUAUCCGGUGUAGGCGUUAGAAUAUUGAGAGGAGCCUUCUUUAGUACGAGAGGACCGAGAAGGACAUACCUCUGGUGUACCAGUUAUCGUGCCAACGGUAAACGCUGGGUAGCUAUGUAUGGAGUGGAUAACCGCUGAAAGCAUCUAAGUGGGAAGCCCACCUCAAGAUAAGUAUUCUCAUC